rnacentral:rRNA from 1 species
AGUGAGCGCUGGCGGUAGGCCUAACACAUGCAAGUCGAACGGCAGCACAGUAAGAGCUUGCUCUUACGGGUGGCGAGUGGCGGACGGGUGAGGAAUACAUCGGAAUCUACUUUUUCGUGGGGGAUAACGUAGGGAAACUUACGCUAAUACCGCAUACGACCUACGGGUGAAAGCAGGGGAUCUUCGGACCUUGCGCGACUGAAUGAGCCGAUGUCGGAUUAGCUAGUUGGCGGGGUAAAGGCCCACCAAGGCGACGAUCCGUAGCUGGUCUGAGAGGAUGAUCAGCCACACUGGAACUGAGACACGGUCCAGACUCCUACGGGAGGCAGCAGUGGGGAAUAUUGGACAAUGGGCGCAAGCCUGAUCCAGCCAUACCGCGUGGGUGAAGAAGGCCUUCGGGUUGUAAAGCCCUUUUGUUGGGAAAGAAAAGCAGCAGGUUAAUACCCCGCUGUUCUGACGGUACCCAAAGAAUAAGCACCGGCUAACUUCGUG